UCGGGACGUGCCGGGUCGUCUUCAUCCUGGAGACGAACUCCUGCACGCGCACGAGUUCUUCACUUUCUCGAUCCAAAUCCUCAUCCAAUCGACCAAUCUCUUACCCCUAGUACAUCCAUGACCCCAUAUAAAUACUCGCUUGCUCCUAUUCGUCCGAUUUUUCACCAACUUGAGAUCUCCCAUGCCCGUUUUGCCUCAUUUCGAUCUCGCCGAAGUUCAGCCGUUGCAGAAGGUCUCGUCGGUCGAUUUCGUCGCCACAGAAGAGGCGCAUCCAUAAGAGUGCAAGGACCUCGACCAGAAGCCCUCGCCGCCAUUGCUGCUCCAGCGGGUCACUAUCGUCACAGGAGCAAGCUCCAAUCGUCUCGGAGAACACCUAAUUCAUCUCCGUCGCGCUCUACACCCUUCUGUAAUCUCUCCAUCACCGGAUACCCUCUGUACCCGUCGGCCGCAUCACCGCCGAGUCGCCCGUGGCCAUCGUCCUCAAGUCCGGCACUAUCCAUCCUGUUGUUCCGAUUGUUUGGACCGCGAAGGGAACCAAAAUUAAGUGUUAGAGUACUUCAGCACCUUUCAAGG